UGGGGAAUAUUGGACAAUGGGCGAAAGCCUGAUCCAGCCAUGCCGCGUGAGUGAUGAAGGCCCUAGGGUUGUAAAGCUCUUUUGUGCGGGAAGAUAAUGACGGUACCGCAAGAAUAAGCCCCGGCUAACUUCGUGCCAGCAGCCGCGGUAAUACGAAGGGGGCUAGCGUUGCUCGGAAUCACUGGGCGUAAAGGGUGCGUAGGCGGGUUUCUAAGUCAGAGGUGAAAGCCUGGAGCUCAACUCCAGAACUGCCUUUGAUACUGGAAGUCUUGAGUUCGGGAGAGGUGAGUGGAACUGCGAGUGUAGAGGUGAAAUUCGUAGAUAUUCGCAAGAACACCAGUGGCGAAGGCGGCUCACUGGCCCGAUACUGACGCUGAGGCACGAAAGCGUUGGGAGCAAACA
rnacentral:rRNA from 1 species